rnacentral:rRNA from 1 species
GUCCUUUUGAUUAUUAUUUAAGGUCUGACCUGCCCACUGAUUAAUUAAAUGGCCGCGGUAUUUUGACCGUGCAAAGGUAGCAUAAUCAUUUGUCUUUUAAUUGAAGGCUUGAAUGAAUGGUUGGACGAGAAAACUUCUUUCUUUAUUAUAAUUUAAAUAAUUUUAUUUUUUAGUUAAAAAGCUAAAAUGUUGUUGUAGGACGAGAAGACCCUAUAGAACUUUAUAAUUUAAUAAAUAUUUUUAUGUUUUGUUAAUAAUUUAUUAUAUAUAUUAAAUUAUUUUGUUGGGGCGACAAGAAAAUUUUUUUAACUUUUUUAAUUAAAUUCACUAAUUAGUGUUUGUAUGAUCCUUUAUUAAGGAAAUUAGAUUAAGUUACCUUAGGGAUAACAGCGUAAUUUUUUUGGAGAGUUCUUAUCGAUAAAGAAGUUUGCGA